rnacentral:ribozyme from 1 species
UUUUUUUUGUUUUUUUUUUUUUUUUUGACCUCCGCCGCUUGUUACAGGAUCGCGUCAUUUCUAAAAACACA